UGGGAACACUCCAAUGCAGGCGCCCGAACAUAACAGACCAGCGACAAAUACAGCACCCUCCGGUCUUCAAAAAUCCAAGAUACCCAAUCCAUGGGGGAGUUCUCCGAUCAUUUUUCGCAGCCGUCAUGUGCAUUUGGAGAAGGCCAGUAUGCGAGACA